GAAACGACUCUCGGCAACGGAUAUCUCGGCUCUCGCAUCGAUGAAGAACGUAGCGAAAUGCGAUACCUGGUGUGAAUUGCAGAAUCAUGUGAACCAUCGAGUCUUUGAACGCAAGUUGCGCCCGAAGCCGUUAGGCCGAGGGCACGUCUGCCUGGGCGUCACAC
rnacentral:rRNA from 1 species